UACGUAGGGUGCAAGCGUUGUCCGGAAUUAUUGGGCGUAAAGAGUUCGUAGGCGGUUUGUCGCGUCGACUGUGAAAACCCGCGGCUCAACUGCGGGCUUGCAGCCGAUACGGGCAGGCUAGAGUUCGGUAGGGGAGACUGGAAUUCCUGGUGUAGCGGUGAAAUGCGCAGAUAUCAGGAGGAACACCGGUGGCGAAGGCGGGUCUCUGGGCCGAUACUGACGCUGAGGAGCGAAAGCGUGGGGAGCGAACAGG
rnacentral:rRNA from 1 species